rnacentral:tRNA from 2 species
GUUCCGGUAGCUCAGCAGGAUAGAGCGGCUGCCUCCUAAGCAGCAGGUCAUGCGUUCGAAUCGCAUCCGGGACA